ACCCUCUCAGGAUCACACCUGGAGAGUUUCCCGUACUCUGCCAGUCUCAGCUAUGGAAGGAAGGGUCAACCAGAGGCAAACCCAUUCCAUUCCUAGCUUGGCAGUGGCUAGUGAGUGGAAGGCAAUCUGCUACAAGU